rnacentral:rRNA from 1 species
CAUCAUGCCCCUUACUGACCUGGGCUACACACGUGCUACAAUGGUUGGUACAACGAGUUGCGAGUCGGUGACGGCGAGCUAAUCUCUUAAAGACCAAUCUCAGUUCGGAUUGUAGGCUGCAACUCGCCUACAUGAAGUCGGAAUCGCUAGUAAUCGCGGAUCAGCACGCCGCGGUGAAUACGUUCCCGGGCCUU